rnacentral:lncRNA from 12 species
GCUUCAAGAUUGGCUGCCCCAAGACAGAUGGAAGCUGGAAUGUCCUGGCAGAGUCGUGGCGGCAAAGUAUGAUUCCACCAGGGGGCAUUUUCUAGAAGAUGUGACGAGAAAGCACACAGUAUUGCUUACUGGAAAUGCCAGUAAGCAAUUCGCCUCUUUCAUUUAGGAUGCAUUUACAAACACUGAAGAACUCCAAGAUUCAGAGCAAGUGAUUUUAGCACUAGAUGAUUCACUCACAGAGGUAUUUAUUUGCUUCUGAAAACAUUUUCCAUCUAGAACAUACAGUGAUCACACCAGACCCGUGGUGACGGAAAUAGUUCACCAAUUUGGAUCUGACCUGAUGGAUUCCUCCAAAGUUCAAUCUUUUAAAUAUCAAUAAAUACAUGUAUUCAGUCUAGAAAUUAACAUCCUUAAAAUGAUUGCUAUUUCCUUAUUUACGCAGACCCUACCUUAAGUGUUACCCUGGUGCUUCCAUUCAAAUAGGUCCAGGUCUUCAGUUCUCUUAGUAUUAGUGAUUUUCAUUCUUCCUGUAGUUCAGAUACAACUCAUUCUCUUCCCUACUUCACGUCCCAUUAGAGCAUUCAAUAACUCAUUUUAGUUUUAGCGAUCGAUCGUACUUUCUUUGUUUGCAUCCUGUUCAGAAGAGACAUGUGGGAGGAGAGAGGGAGCCCCAACCACCUGCCGGAUGCAGAUUCCUGGCUGUGGCUGGCCCCACUGCUGCCUGCAUCUGACUACGGGAGGGUCUGUGCUGCUUUUUGUGCAGCUGGGCGUUCACAGAGGGGCUGUGAGAGCUGGACGACACCGUGCUCUGGAAAGUGGCUUGUGAAAAUUCCAUGGAAGAGAACGGUGAGGUACUCUGAGGCCUUCCAUGUCAAUUCCAGGACUGCUUCUAGGGCCUCAUCAUCCAGUUGCAUCAUGCUCCUUCUGAGGACUCCAGUUUGGCAUGUUUCCUAUCACACAGUGCCCUCCACACCCAGCUGCCCUGGGACCUCUGACCUCCUCACCUCUCCUCACUUCCCCUGUGCAUCUCCGGUGUCCGUGCCCUGCUGUGUCAGAUCUCCAUUUGCUAACCAUGUACCAGGUAUUUUCACCGGGCUAAUCCAGGAUCCUACACUUGUGACCAGAAGACCCAGGACGGAUGUUAUCUCUGUGACCUGGUCUCCAUAAGACGGCGCUGUCCAUGGCGUUCCCAUCACUGCCCUAUUCUCUGGAGUCUUCCGUUUGCCAUCCCUGGACAUUGUUGUAGGGUGCAUGCUUUAUUUAGCCUCUCAACUCUAGUGUGAUCUGGAGGUGCAAGACACCUUGAAGUAUUUUGGAAUCAUUAACUAACCACAAUAAAAGCUGCUCUAAGUGAACCA